rnacentral:rRNA from 1 species
UAGAUACCCCACUAUGCCUAACUGUAACCCAACAAUUAAAUUACCAAUUGUUCGCCAAAUAACUACGAGUAAAAACUUAAAAUUUAAAAGACUUGACGGUACUUCACAACACCCUAGAGGAGCCUGUCCAGUAACCGAUACUCCACGAUCAACCCAACCCUUUCUAGCCCAACAGUCUAUAUACCGCCGUCGCCAGCCUACCUUAUGAAAGAAACAAAGUAAGCCAAAUAGUCACACACUAACACGACAGGUCGAGGUGUAACCAAUGAAGGGGGCAAAGAUGGGCUACACUCUCUAACGCAGAGAACACGAAUAAACUUUGAAAUAAGAAACUGAAGGUGGAUUUAGCAGUACACUAAGAACAAACAUACUUGGUCGAAAUUAAUGCAAUGAAGUGCGUACACACCGCCCGUC